rnacentral:rRNA from 1 species
CUGGUUGAUCCUGCCAGUAGUCAUAUGCUUGUCUUAAAGAUUAGGCCAUGCAUGUCUAAGUAUAAACACUUUGUACUUGUGAAACUGCGAAUGGCUCAUUAAAUCAGUUAUAAUUUAUUUGAUGGUCCUUUACUACUUGGAUAACCGUGGUAAAUCUAGAGCUAAUACAUGCACAAAAUCCUGACUGCUUUCGGGUAGGAGGGAUGUAUUUAUUAGAUUCAAGAGCCAAUGCCAUUCUUCGGGAUGGAAAUUUUUUAUAUGGUGAAUCAUGAUAACUUUACGAAUCGCAUAGUCUUGUACUGGCGAUAGUUCAUUCAAAUAUCUGCCCUAUCAACUUUCGAUGGUAGUAUAGAGGACUACCAUGGUGGUAACGGGUAACGGAGAAUCAGGGUUUGAUUCCGGAGAAGGAGCCUGAGAAACGGCUACUACUUCCAAGGAAGGCAGCAGGCGCGCAAAUUACCCAAUCCCGACACGGGGAGGUAGUGACAAAAAAUAACAAUACCGGUCUUAUUAAAGUCUGGUAAUUGGAAUGAGUACAAUCUAAAACCUUUAACGAGUAUCAAUUGGAGGGCAAGUCUGGUGCCAGCAGCCGCGGUAAUUCCAGCUCCAAUAGCAUAUAUUAAAGUUGUUGCAGUUAAAAAGCUCGUAGUUGAUUUUGAUGUUUACUUUUCAUAACCUGCCUUGUAUAAGGUAUGUUUGUUGUGAAUCGUACAUCUCCUUACUAGACUUUCAUGGUUGUACUUAAUUGAAUGACCAUUUCAUUCUGAUUCGUUAGGGUGAGUGAUGAGUAGACCUAUUGGAUUCGAGAUUGUGGAUGAAUUUCUUCGGAGAUUGGUUCUGCUUGGAUUCAGUAACUAUUUAUUAGAAAUCUAGUUCAUUUACUUUGAGUAAAUUAGAGUGUUCAAGGCAAGCAAAUUUGUUUCUGCAAUGAAUACUAUUAGCAUGGGAUAAUGGAACAGGACACGUAUUCUAGUUUUCCGUUGGUUUCUAGAAUUUUUAGUCGCUCCUUGGAGUGGCGAAGUGUAAUGAUUAAAAGGGACAGUUGGGGGCAUUCGUAUUUCAUUGUCAGAGGUGAAAUUCUUGGAUUUAUGAAAGACGAACUUCUGCGAAAGCAUUUGUCAAAGAUGUUUUCAUUAAUCAAGAACGAAAGUUAGGGGAUCGAAGACGAUCAGAUACCGUCGUAGUCUUAACCAUAAACUAUGCCGACCAGGGAUUGGAAGAUGU